CGGAUAUCUUAACAAUGUUAAGUAACAAGGUAGCACCAAACUUCCAUUUAAAUUAUUUAUAAGUGAUAAAGUAGCACUAAUCAGAAUAUGAAUUUUUAAUGUUCACUGUUGAAUGUUCUAUAAUUCUCUGCAUUAUGUCUUUGAUGACAACAUUGGCUGAAAAUGAAAAGUUCCACAUUAUCCCAAUAUUGUUACUUAGAUACUUCUUUGUGAUUUGUAUUUUUCUUCAGAUAAUCUUAGUCACAAGUGAUGUACCUGUUAUCUUUGUGGUGCUUUAUUCUUCAAGGUAGCUGGGAAUUGAUGACC
rnacentral:lncRNA from 1 species